GCUUUGCGUGAUGAAUUAGCCUUUUUUCAUACAGUUAUCCCUGUCUGAAAAUAAUUUUCCGUGUGGACAAUGCCUAUCUUCUGAUCUUUGC
rnacentral:snoRNA from 1 species